rnacentral:miRNA from 1 species
UCUCUCUCUCUCUCUCUCUCUCUCUCUGUGUGUGUGUGUGAGAGAGAGAGAGAGAGAGGAGAGAGAGAGA